UCUACGGGCGGCAGCAGUGGGGAAUAUUGCACAAUGGGGGAAACCCUGAUGCAGCGACGCCGCGUGAGUGAAGAAGUAUUUCGGUACGUAAAGCUCUAGCAGCAGGGAAGAAAAAAAGUCCUUUGGACUUUUGACGGUACCUGACCAAGAAGCCCCGGCUAACUACGUGCCAGCAGCCGCGGUAAUACGUAGGGGGCAAGCGUUAUCCGGAUUUACUGGGUGUAAGGGGACCGUAGACGGCAGCGAAAGUCUGGAGUGAAAUGCCGGGGCCCAACCCCGGAACUGCUUUGGAAACUGUGCAUCUGGAGUGCAGGAGAGGUAAGCGGAAUUCCUAGUGUAGCGGUGAAAUGCGUAGAUAUUAGGAGGAACACCAGUGGCGAAGGCGGCUUACUGGACUGUAACUGACGUUGAGGCUCGAAAGCGUGGGGAGCAAACAGGAUUAGAUAUCCCUGUAGUC
rnacentral:rRNA from 1 species